rnacentral:rRNA from 1 species
AUGAUCAAGAGGGUCUUUGGAUGUGUGCACGCUAGAAAGCCUGAUAAACCGGAAACAAGUAGCACCUCAGAGAGCAUUGCAACAGAAACAAGCAACUCCAGCAGGCGGCCUGGUGCUGAAAUGGAUGUGACAAGAACACGUCAGAAAAACAGGAUUCUCCGUCAUGAUUGUAAGGCACACAUGAUUGUUGGGCUUAGAGAGGGGAGAUUGACAGUCACUUGCUUUGUUGCGGAGCAUACACAUCCACUAAUGCAACAACCAGAGCGUGUUAGAUACUACCGCUCGCACCGCAAAAAUACCUGCUGA